UGGGUAUCAGGCAGAUUUCUGGGUGAGGCCCAGAGGAGCAUUUUUAUUCAUCCAUCCAUUCAACAAGGGACUAUGUCUUAUCCAACUUGUAUCCCUAGAGUAUAACACAACAUCUGCAUAUAAGACAGAAAGUCAGUGGAUUCAAAACGAUGAAAGUGGAUUCAAAACCUCUGUCAAGGGGUGCUGUCCUUUCCUGGCCAAGUCUCUUUUAUUCUCUUAGGGCUGCAACCUCUUCACCUGGGAAAUGAAUGGUCCUGUGAUUUACAAGAGCAGGGUCCAGGCUGAAGGUGCAGGCCCU
rnacentral:lncRNA from 1 species